CCUACGGGGGGCAGCAGUGAGGAAUAUUGGUCAAUGGCCGGAAGGCUGAACCAGCCAUGCCGCGUGAAGGUCAGUGCCCUAUGGGCGUUAAACUUCUUUUGUGCGGGAGCAAUAAUGGUCACGUGUGGCCAGACGAGAGUACCGUACGAAUAAGCAUCGGCUAACUCCGUGCCAGCAGCCGCGGUAAUACUGGGGAUGCAAGCGUUAUCCGGAUUUAUUGGGUUUUAAGGGUGCGUAGGGUGUGAGGUAAGUCAGCGGUGAAAUGCCCCCGCUCAACGGGGUGAAGUGCCAUUGAUACUGGCAUGCUGGAGUGCGGAUGCCGUGGGAGGAAUGUGUGGUGUAGCGGUGAAAUGCAUAGAUAUCACGAAGAACACCGAUUGCGAAGGCAUCUCACGAAUCCGCGAUUGACGCUGAUGCACGAAAGCGUGGGUAUCAAACAGGAUUAGAUACCCUGGUAGUC
rnacentral:rRNA from 1 species